rnacentral:rRNA from 1 species
UACGUACCGUCCAAACGUUAUUCGGAAUCACUGGGCUUAAAGGGUGCGUAGGCGGUCCAGUAAGUUGGGUGUGAAAGCCCUCGGCUCAACCGAGGAAUUGCGCCCAAAACUACUGGACUCGAGGGAGACAGAGGUAAGCGGAACUUAAGGUGGAGCGGUGAAAUGCGUUGAUAUCUUAAGGAACACCAGGAGCGAAAGCGGCUUACUGGGUCUCUUCUGACGCUGAGGCACGAAAGCUAGGGGAGCGAACGGGAUUAGAUACCCCGGUAGUCCUAGCCGUAAACGAUGAGCACUGGGUUGGAGGCCCCCCCAUAGGCUUCUAGCCGUAGCGAAAGUGUUAAGUGCUCCGCCUGGGGAGUAUGGUCGCAAGGCUGAA